GGCCACUUGGUCUAGUGGUAUGAUUCAUCCUUAGGGUGGAUGAGGUCGCGAGUUCGAUUCUCGCAGUGGCCC